rnacentral:rRNA from 1 species
AUUGAACGCUGGCGGCAGGCCUAACACAUGCAAGUCGAGCGGGGUUUUCGGACCUAGCGGCGGACGGGUGAGUAAUGCGUAGGAAGCUGCCCGAUAGAGGGGGAUACCAGUUGGAAACGACUGUUAAUACCGCAUAAUGUCUACGGACCAAAGUGUGGGACCUUCGGGCCACAUGCUAUCGGAUGCGCCUACGUGGGAUUAGCUAGUUGGUGAGGUAAUGGCUCACCAAGGCGACGAUCUCUAGCUGGUUUGAGAGGAUGAUCAGCCACACUGGAACUGAGACACGGUCCAGACUCCUACGGGAGGCAGCAGAGGGGAAUAUUGGACAAUGGGCGCAAGCCUGAUCCAGCCAUGCCGCGUGUGUGAAGAAGGCCUUCGGGUUGUAAAGCACUUUCAGCGAGGAGGAAGGGUGGUGUGUUAAUAGCACAUCAUCUUGACGUUACUCGCAGAAGAAGCACCGGCUAACUCUGUGCCAGCCGCCGCAGUAAUAC